rnacentral:misc_RNA from 1 species
AUAGAGCCCGGCCAUUGUCGUUCCAUUCGGGGAGUAUCUCACUAUCAGCACCGACUUAUAUCGGUUCAUAUGCUGUUUAAUAUUUUGUAAAUAGUUCAGUGCUGAAGCACAAAAAAUGGAUGCGUUGACAGAGGAUCAAGUUGAGGAGUUUCGGGAGGCGUUCAGCCUGUUCGACAAAGAUGGCUCCGGGAACAUUUCCGGCGGUGAGUUGGCGUCAGUGAUGAGGUCCCUGGGUCAGAAUCCCACAAUGGCGGAGCUAGAGGAACUCAUCAACGAAGUGGAUCAAGAUGGUAAGACACUUCUGAAUAAUAGAUAACAAUUCUUCUUCUUCUUCUUCUUCUUCUUCUUCUUCUUCUUCUUCUCUAUACAGUGGAUUCAGCAAGAGAGCAGAUACUCCAAUAUCAUAAAUGCAAAACUGGAAAGCAUCGUGUUCAAUGUAUCUUUGAAGAUAUAUUUGUGUCAAUUAUACUUGUGGCUGUACAUUAUUUUGGAGUGUUUAAGAAGUAUGUGUGCCGGAGAUGUUUCUAUCAAACGUACGCUUUUAACGAGAGACUUUCUCCAUUGAUUUACUCCAGGUAAUGGGGAAAUAGACUUCAACGAGUUCCUUCAAAUGAUGUCAAAGAAGAUGAAGGAAACGGAUACCGAGGAUGAAAUACGCGAGGCGUUCCGAGUGUUCGAUGACAGCGGAACCGGGUCCAUUAGCUCCAAUCAGCUGUUCCUAAUCCUAACCACUAUGGGGGACAAGCCGCGACUGACGGACGAGGAAGCGAAAGAGGCAGUGAAAACGGCAGAUAUAGACGGAGACGGUGAUAUCAAUUACAUUGGUAAGUUGUCUAUCCCAUAAGUAAGGAGACGGCGGUAUCAAUUACAUUGGUAAGUUGUCUUUCCCAGUAAGUAAGGAGACGGCGAUAUCAAUUACAUUGGUAAGCUGUCUAUCCCAGUAAGUAAGGAGACGGCGGUAUCAAUUACAUUGGUAAGUUUAUUAUCCUAGUAAGUAAGGAGACGGCUGUAUCAUUUACAUUGGUAAGUUGGUUAUCCCAGUAAGGAGACGGCGGUAUCAAUUACAUUGGUAAGUUGUCUAUCCCAGUAAGUAAGGAGACGGCGGUAUCAAUUACAUUGGUAAGUUGUCUUUCCCAGUAAGUAAGGAGACGGCGGUAUCAAUUACAUUGGUAAGUUGUCUUUCCCAGUAAGUGAGGAGACGGCGGUAUCAAUUACAUUGGUAAGUUGUCGAUUCCAGUGAGUAUACCAAGGUACCGAGACAUCUGCCAUGGUAGAAAUGGGAUUAUUUCGCUCCACGCCAGUUCUGUUUUUUUUUUUUAUAAUUAAAAUUUCCCCUGGAUGAAAUGCUUACUAUAACAAUGUACAUUUAUCUUGAUUUGUGAUGAUUUUUUUACAGUGUAAAGAAGCCUGUUUCAACUUGAUAUCUAUUUGAUAACAUUAGCAUGUUGGCGUUACAAUCAGAAGUCCUUAUGUAUUAUGUAUCCUUCGAAAAUAUGAAUAAUGUAUAGCAUCAUUCAAAAACUGGCAUCUAAAAUGCAUAUGAUUUAAGUUGGUCAAUGUUAUAUCCCUCUGCAGUUUGGAAAAUUUCUUACAGGGCUCAAAUACGAGCAUGAUAUAACAGUAACUUGUAUCAUAUUAAAUCAUUGAGCAGUCCAAGUUAAAUGUUAUCAAAAUAGUUAUUUUAUAUCAUUUUUUUCCAGAAUUUAUAAAAGUGAUGACGGAAUAAUUUGAUAUCACAACAUAACGAGGAACAAGCACAACUCUGUAAAUAUGUGUUACGGAUUCAAACAAUUCAUGGACUAGAUGACGAUUUGCCAAACCAGCUGCUAAUUGAAUUGAGUGAGUUGUGUAGGAAUAAUUUAACCAUUUCUGUAUAUUGAGUUAUAUAGGCCUAGUAUUGUACCUGUGUUGUGGAAAUUAUAAAUUAAUGUUUGAAAUUAAAAUAUAAUAAUAUUUCUGCAAUUUAAUUUGCGUUGUUAAAUCUUGAUUCAAUAUUUUUGUUAUUAUUUGAAAUAAAAUGUUGACUAC